GAUGAACGCUGUCGGCGUGCCUAAUACAUGCAAGUCGAGCGAAGCGGUGACGGGUGAGUAACACGUGGAUAACCUCCUAUAAGACUGGGAUAACUUAGGGAAACCGGUGCUAAACCGUCUACUUCUCGAUGUAUCCUCGCUGCAUUAGCUAGUUGGUAAGGUAACGGCUUACCAAGGCAACGAUGCAUAGCCGACCUGAGAGUGUGAUCAGCCACACUGGAACUGAGACACGUUCCAGACUCCUACGGGAGGCAGCAGUAGGGAAUCUUCCGCAAUGGGCGAAAGCCUGACGGAGCAACGCCGCGUGUGUGAUGAAGGUCUUCGGUUCGUAAAACUCUGUUAUUAGGGAAGCGGUACCGAAUCAGAAAGCCCCGGCUAACUACGUGCCAGCAGCCGCGGUAAUAC
rnacentral:rRNA from 1 species